rnacentral:rRNA from 1 species
UUUAUGGAGAGUUUGAUCCUGGCUCAGGAUGAACGCUGGCGGCGUGCCUAAUACAUGCAAGUCGAGCGAACGGACGAGAAGCUUGCUUCUCUGAUGUUAGCGGCGGACGGGUGAGUAACACGUGGAUAACCUACCUAUAAGACUGGGAUAACUUCGGGAAACCGGAGCUAAUACCGGAUAAUAUUUUGAACCGCAUGGUUCAAAAGUGAAAGACGGUCUUGCUGUCACUUAUAGAUGGAUCCGCGCUGCAUUAGCUAGUUGGUAAGGUAACGGCUUACCAAGGCAACGAUGCAUAGCCGACCUGAGAGGGUGAUCGGCCACACUGGAACUGAGACACGGUCCAGACUCCUACGGGAGGCAGCAGUAGGGAAUCUUCCGCAAUGGGCGAAAGCCUGACGGAGCAACGCCGCGUGAGUGAUGAAGGUCUUCGGAUCGUAAAACUCUGUUAUUAGGGAAGAACAUAUGUGUAAGUAACUGUGCACAUCUUGACGGUACCUAAUCAGAAAGCCACGGCUAACUACGUGCCAGCAGCCGCGGUAAUACGUAGGUGGCAAGCGUUAUCCGGAAUUAUUGGGCGUAAAGCGCGCGUAGGCGGUUUUUUAAGUCUGAUGUGAAAGCCCACGGCUCAACCGUGGAGGGUCAUUGGAAACUGG